rnacentral:rRNA from 1 species
AUUGAACGCUGGCGGCAGGCCUAACACAUGCAAGUCGAGCGAGCGGCGGACGGGUGAGUAAUGUCUGGGAAACUGCCUGAUGGAGGGGGGUAACUACUGGAAACGGUAGCUAAUACCGCAUACCAUCAGAUGUGCCCAGAUGGGAUUAGCUAGUAGGUGGGGUAACGGCUCACCUAGGCGACGAUCCCUAGCUGGUCUGAGAGGAUGACCAGCAACACUGGAACUGAGACACGGUCCAGACGCCUACGGGAGGCAGCAGUGGGGAAUAUUGCACAAUGGGCGCAAGCCUGAUGCAGCCAUGCCGCGUGGGUGAAGAAGGCCCUCGGGUUGUAAAGCACUUUCAGCGGGGAGGCGUUACCAACAGAAUAAGCACCGGCUAACUUCGUGCCAGCCGCCGCGGUAAUUC